rnacentral:rRNA from 1 species
AACGAACGCUGGCGGCGCGUCUUAACCAUGCAAGUCGAGCGGCAGGCAGCAAUGCCGAGAGCGGCGGGCUGGUGAGUAACACGUGGAUAACGUACCCCGAUGUCCGGGACAGCCUGUAGAAAUAGAGGGUAAUACCGGAUAGAUCACUGUUUACGUGAGGUAGACAGCGGGAAAGGAGCUUCGGCUCCGCGACGGGAUCGGUCUGCGGCCCAUCAGCUGGACGGCGGGGUAAAGGCCCGCCGUGGCGAGGACGGGUAUCCGGCCUGAGAGGGCGGACGGACACAUUGGGACUGAGAUACGGCCCAGACUCCUACGGGAGGCAGCAGGUAAGAAUAUUCCGCAAUGGGGGGAACCCUGACGGAGCGACGCCGCGUGAACGAAGAAGGCCGGAAGGUUGUAAAGUUCUUUUCUGUCCGAGGAAUAAGUUUCGGAGGAAAUGCCGGGACGGUGACGGUAGGGCAGGAAUAAGCACCGGCUAAUUACGUG